AACGUAGGAGGCGAGCGUUAUCCGGAUUCACUGGGCGUAAAGCGCGGGCAGGUGGUCCUUUAAGUCCUUUGUGAAAUCCCGGGGCUCAACUCCGGAUGUGCAGAGGAUACUGGUGGACUAGAGACCGGUAGAGGCGAGUGGAAUUCCUGGUGUAGCGGUGGAAUGCGUAGAUAUCAGGAAGAACACCUGUGGCGAAGGCGGCCCCUGGCCGCGGCCGUGACGCUGAGAGCGAAUGAGGCAGCGGGGAGUAACGG
rnacentral:rRNA from 1 species